rnacentral:snRNA from 1 species
AUCUUUGCGCUUGGGGAAAUGACGCAGUUAGUGAAGUACUAACCGAGGCGCGUCAAUUGCUGGUUGAGAACUAUUUCCAAACCCUCUCUUAGGCCUGUGUUUGGCUCGGGCCUUCAAGAAUUUCUGGAAGGGUUCCUUUUGGGGUUUAGCC